rnacentral:pre_miRNA from 1 species
GCAUUUUUGAGCCUGAUCCAAAGGCCAUUGAAGUCAGUGGGAGUCUUUCCACUGAUUUCAAUGGGCUUUGAAUCAGGCCUUUAGC